UGGUGCACGAUGAACCUUACAAUUGUCGGUUUGUCGGUCCUCCUGGCCGACCUGAGCGUUAAAAUCGUGGAUGACGAUCUUGAUGUUUUGGACAGCGAUCGUAUUCUCGUUCCAGCUGCGCCCAGUAUUCGCCUUUUUCGUCACCGGUACUUCCGAGGUGAAGUCUGUGCACGUUGUUUAUACUGAUGUUGAAGAACCAGCCCUUGAUUCUCAAUCGGUAAAUUCGUGGGUCGAUGGACAAUCACCGACCGUGCGCUUUUACAUCUUCCUCAUUACUGUAAAAGCUGUUCCAAGCUCGUGUGGGUCUCCGCAGCUCUGGUAGAUGGUAUCUCAUGUGCCCAUCUUCAUGUGCCUAUGAAAUUUAGAGAUCGGCAGUUCCAUGUCUCAAGUUGUUGUUAGAUCUUGUUGUGCUAGGGUGUCAUACGCACUAUAGGCUUUGGUAUUUGCACAAUAACCCAUGCACUCUGCCUCUUCCGCCGUUUGGUUGUCCAAACACCUCGUCAGAUAUCGGUUGACGCGAUAAGCAGCCGUCGAUACUGCUUCUGUACUCCUUACCCUCCUUACCUUCGCAUCGUUCAGCAUGCACCAUGCUUUGUCCAUCAGUGUGCAUCGUCUCCGCGAUUUCUUUUUGCUGCGGCGGCGUGUACGAACAAGUCGUCUGAUGCGCUCUAGAGAACAGUUCACGACCUUUUUACUCGCAUCGUCGACAAAUGUUGCAGAAUAACGACUGCCUCCGAACGGGCUCACAGAGAUUGGAGUGUACCAACUCCAGCAGCUUCGUGGCUUUUGAAUUGCUGCUCAGGAACGACAAUCGUUCCUGCUUUCCUUUGAGUCACAAUUCUCUAUCGACGAUCGCUUUGUUUGAAAUACCAUAUUUUCAGCCGUUCGCUUCACUAUUAGGGACACUAAUACCGACCUCGAGGUUUGAGUUAUCGGGACCUUCAGCUUUUUUUCUUCAUAGACUGAACAAUUACGGGGCUAACACAGCACUAAUAGGCAUCAUUCCAAUCGUAUUCCGAAUAAGAAUUCUAAAUGUUCUAAGUUCAGGGUGUUUUUCAUUUGUAGUGAGUUCCUUAAUUCUAAAUUUUCAUUUGGAUCAAUAUGUCAUUUGUGGAUUUUUAUAAUAUUAAAAAAAAUAAAAUACUAUGAUUUAUGAUGGGAAGGCCCAUCAGCAAAAUUGCUGCCAAUUAGGAGUCGUUCAUCUCAAAUCCCACGCUUCUGAGCUCGUGACUGUGCAUGUAUGCCUCAACACUGGAACAAUUGACGAGCCACUACGAUGUGAAUUUUCUCAACAAUCCUUAUUUUAUUUCGUAGUAUUCCGUCUCACGACAUAUCUUGACGAAUAUAAUUCCCUAAACUCACUAGGUACAUGACAACGGUUCUCGAAAUUCUCGGACAUCCCACAUUCCCCAGAUCACGCUCCACUUGGUCUAACCACCUCGAUCGUUGCGCCCCCGCUCGUCUUGUUCCUAGCUGAUUCGUAGCGAACACCUGUUUUGCAGGACAGUCUUCCGGCAUUCUUAACAACCUUCUGAAUUCUGGGUUCGCAAGCUCGUGGUUAAUCCUUCGCCUCCACACUCCGUUCUCCUGCACGCCGCCAAAGAUGGUUCUUAACACUCGUUGCUCGAAUACUCCGAGUGUACGCAGGUCCUUCUCGAGCAAUAUCCAUGUCUCGUGCCCGUAGAGAAUAACCGGUCUAAUGAACAUCGUGUACAGGUUUCACUUCGUGCGAGGGCUGAGUCUUCUCGACCGCAGUUGCUUGUGAAGUCCAUAGUAGGCACGACUUCCGCUGAUAACUCGACGCCGGAUCUCACGGCUGGUGUCAUUGUCUGCAGUCACCAGUGAGCCGAGAUAGACAAAGUUUUCCACUAUCUCCAGCUCGUCGCCGUCGAUCGUGACCUUGUUAUUACUAUGAUCUGCCGACUCUAUCAAUGUCAUCAGCAAAGCAGAUAAGUUGACUGGAUCUGUUGAAAAUCGUGCUUCGCAUUUCACUCACUGCUCGUCGAAUAACACCUUCUAGCGUCACGUUGAACAUCAUGCAGGAUAGACCAACUCAGCAAUCCUAUUUUUCUUGUUAGUCCGCUGUUCUGGAAGGCAGUUUUUAAUACAGCCCAUGCGUCCUCGGCCCUAACUGCAUCCUGCAAUAAGCUGUAGCUUCAAACACCCACGACUUGCCCUUUCCACACAGCUUCUCACACGAACGCUUUCUGCUCCGAUCGUACCGCAUCCGCUGGCUGCUUCAUUCCUUUAACACUGUGCGAAGUUCACAUUAUGCUGCGUAAAGGGUACUCUAAAAAAUUGAAAACAUUUCAAAACAUGUGGUUUAGUACAAUUUGUGCUUUCCAUGUGCCUUCGAUAAAUUGUAGGUUGAUGUGGUGAGCCGUUAUUCAGCUUUCAAGUUCCAUAAUGUAUCAAUUGAAGAUUAGAUGCAGAUGUUGCGUUUGUGUUUUGACACGCCUGGUUUUUUAAAUUAUUUUUUGGAACCGAAAGAGAAAUUAAAGGAAUCAGUCCAUUGUGAUUUUGAAAGCCUGUUAUUUAGGAAUCUAGCGUGGUAGGGUACUAUCGCGCAAUUCGAUUGGCGUACAAAUGUAGAAGUUUCUUGAAGCUGUAAGAAAAUACAUUUUAAAAAUUAGUAUUCAGCAAAGGAAGUCAAAGCUUCGAAAUUCUGUAGUUUUGCAUCAGUCUCCGAAAGCCUGAAUAACUUUCUUUUCAGCUUGAUUAUGAGAACGUAUCGAUAAAAACUCAAAUUUUCAGCUAUAUAGCAUGUUAUAACCGCCAUUGGAAAAGCUGAGUACACAUUCAAGAGCCUGUAAUGGAACUUUUGGUUACAUGGGAUGCGUGAGUCAUUUUUUUGAUAACUGUAUUCUGUUGAUUCGAGAAUAUCUUUUUUUAGCAUCUGCCGCAGUUUUGAUGUUUCUCAAAGUUCAGGUAAUCAAUGUUCGAAAAAUAGCAUUUGUCUGCUAGGAAUAACAUAGAACAUUUGAAUCGUUGAAGUCCAAUUUUAACUUAUUCUGGUAUUAUCGUGCUGCUAAUGAUCAAUGUCAACGAGAGAUACUAGCUGUUUGUGAUUCCAUUUUCAAUUCAAUUAAUUUUGGAAGGAAAAUCUUCCUAACAAUUUUUUUUCAUCCAUACUUUUCUACAAAAAUUAAAAUGAACAUUGUUCAUAAAUUUCUGUCCUAACACAAUUAUUAAUCUGUUUAUUCAACCCCUCAUUUCAUUUUCACAGUUCCUCAAGAAAUUGAACCGGCUCGAGCGUGUUGUAGAGGAGGUUAAACUGGUAAUCAAACCGUUCUACAACAAAAAACAGAUCAAUAAGGACGAGUACAAAGAUAUACUGCGACGUGCUGUACCCAAGAUCUGCCACAGUCGAACCGGCGAGAUCAAUCCGAUGAAAAUCCAGAAGCUGAUAACGGCAUACGUGCGUAAAGCCCGGGCUCGGCGACGAUUAGCCAAGAAGGGUGGCAUGCCGGCAGGCGCUCCUGGCACCAACAGUAAUCCUAUCAUCAUCUAAAGGCGCUCAAAGCUCAUGGUAAUGGUAUGGUUUCCAUCAAUCUCUCCCCUGAAUCUGAUCCGGGUCCAUGCGAGGUUACAUAAACCUAAAGUAGGUAUUAAACUUGUGACUCAGGAUCUAGGAGAAGCAAAUGGUUCACACCGAAAGCACGUGUGAAUAUGUAUGGAUAAAAUUUCAACAGACAAUGCGGACAAAAAGUAAGCUUUACUUCCGUUCAAAUGUGUAAUUAUUGUUUUUUCGGCUUCAGUUUUUAUUUUUUGUUUUUUUUUUAAAUGAACAUUACGAAAAAUGCAACACAACCCAAACUUGUGUUGUAGAUUGUAAAAGUUAGCAAUACUUUUGAGAUACAUCCAAACAUAAAACAUGAUGUUUGCAUGGAGUGAUGCGACGAUCGAUUUUCCGACAUAUUCGGAUUAAGCGUCGACAUUCGAGAAAUGUUUGCGAUUGACUAUGUAUGAGGUUUACCUAUAGGAUCGUGUGAAAACAAAAAUAGAUACUUUAACUGAAUCGUAAAAAAUGAUUCCUUAUCGAAAGCAGAACCAUAAGGUUUGUUGUUAGACGCUAAGUUACUGGUAGAACAUACAAUUACGCAUCAAUUUUCACUCAUAAUUGUGGUAGAAUGUUGCUACAGUAAAAGUAUAGUAAAAGGGUAUUUAUAACAUUUAUCAUAAAUAAUAUAUUUAUUCAAUAUACACAAUUAUUAGAUUAAGCUUGAGACGAUUAGAUUAUGCUGAAAUGUAUAACUAAUCACUUAAAAGUAAUUAUCACUGUAAAGUUAAUACUGGAUUCAGUUAUUAUCACAAAUCAAUUUAGAACUACGUUCGCACUAAAUUUAUUAGAAAAGUGAUUUUCAAAUUGGUAAUCUGAAAUUUUCGAAUGCAACAAACUUAAUUGAGCAAACAAAACACUAAACCUUAUGCUUCCUGCUACUAUCGUACUUUUUUCAUUUCAAACGAACCUGUGCAAAUAUUCAUUAAACAUGCAACAUAAACUUAGAAAUUACCCUUUAAACAUACAAUAUCCUCGACAUGGCAACCUCAGAAAAAAGCCAACAGUCGAAAAACUACAUUUGUCGAAACACAUAAAAGAAGAUAUAAAAAUAUCAUUUACGGUCGUCAGAUCAUGAAAUAAGUGACAGAUCGAUGGUUAAUAGUGACAGCUUACCAUCUCACAUGAAGGAAUGAUGCAUAAAUUUUAACGAACAAAAUCAAUCGCGUCGCGAACUACCACAUUGAUUAAGAGAAUAAUAGUUCAACAAGUCGAAAGUGACGUAAAAAAACAUCUGUGGAUCGAUUAUUGCAACAACACCCAGAAGAUUAUCUAUAACGCUAAUAAACAAAACAAAAGUGAAUAGUUUAAGAAAACAUC